UACGGGGGGGGCAAGCGUUGUUCGGAUUUACUGGGCGUAAAGCGCACGUAGGCGGAUUGUUAAGUCAGGGGUGAAAUCCUGGAGCUCAACUCCAGAACUGCCUUUGAUACUGGCAAUCUUGAGUCCGGAAGAGGUGAGUGGAACUCCUAGUGUAGAGGUGGAAUUCGUAGAUAUUAGGAAGAACACCAGUGGCGAAGGCGGCUCACUGGUCCGGUACUGACGCUGAGGUGCGAAAGCGUGGGGAGCGAACAGG
rnacentral:rRNA from 1 species